CGCGUAGGCGGCCAAGCAAGUCCUGGGUGAAAUCCCUCGGCUCAACCGAGGAACUGCCUCGGAAACUGCAUGGCUCGAGGCCGGGAGAGGGUAGCGGAAUUCCCAGUGUAGCGGUGAAAUGCGUAGAUAUUGGGAGGAACACCGGUGGCGAAGGCGGCUACCUGGACCGGUUCUGACGCUGAUGCGCGAAAGCGUGGGGAAGCAAACA
rnacentral:rRNA from 1 species